AUAGUGCACAGGUUGUUAAUCUGUUAUCAUACCAAUCAUAGUGCACAGGUUGUUAAUCUGUUAUCAUACCAAUCAUAGUGCACAGGUUGUUAAUCUGUUAUCAUACCAAUCAUAGUGCACAGGUUGUUAAUCUGUUAUCAUACCAAUCAUAGUGCACAGGUUGUUAAUCUGUUAUCAUACCAAUCAUAGUGCACAGGUUGUUAAUCUGUUAUCAUACCAAAUCAUAGUGCACAGGUUGUUAAUCU